GUGAACGCUGGCGGUAGGCCUAACCCAUGCCAGUCGAACGGCAGCACAGUAAGAGCUUGCUCUUACGGGUGGCGAGUGGCGGACGGGUGAGGAAUACAUCGGAAUCUACUUUUUCGUGGGGGAUAACGUAGGGAAACUUACGCUAAUACCGCAUACGACCUACGGGUGAAAGCAGGGGAUCUUCGGACCUUGCGCGAUUGAAUGAGCCGAUGUCGGAUUAGCUAGUUGGCGGGGUAAAGGCCCACCAAGGCGACGAUCCGUAGCUGGUCUGAGAGGAUGAUCAGCCACACUGGAACUGAGACACGGUCCAGACUCCUACGGGAGGCAGCAGUGGGGAAUAUUGGACAAUGGGCGCAAGCCUGAUCCAGCCAUACCGCGUGGGUGAAGAAGGCCUUCGGGUUGUAAAGCCCUUUUGUUGGGAAAGAAAAGCAGCAGGUUAAUACCCCGCUGUUCUGACGGUACCCAAAGAAUAAGCACCGGCUAACUUCGUG
rnacentral:rRNA from 1 species